rnacentral:rRNA from 1 species
GAUCAUGACUCAAGAUGAACGCUAGCGACAGGCCUAACACAUGCAAGUCGAGGGGCAGCGGAGAGGUAGCAAUACCUUUGCCGGCGACCGGCGCACGGGUGAGUAACACGUAUGCAAUCCACCUGUAACAGGGGGAUAACCCGGAGAAAUCCGGACUAAUACCCCAUAAUAUGGGCUCUCCGCAUGGAGGGUCCAUUAAAGAGAGCAAUUUUGGUUACAGACGAGCAUGCGCUCCA